rnacentral:lncRNA from 1 species
CACGAUUCCUGCCUUCAGAGAACGUGAGACAAGUGGAAUUCCACCCAGUGUCCUAAGGCUCAUAUCAUAUACGGACAAGUCACCCUCUCGGACAGUGGACACUUGCUUCUCUGAAGCGGCUGAGUGCGCAUCCCCACACUGCCACCACUAGAUCAUCUGCGAUCAUCUUCAUCAAUACAACUGGGCAGACUCUUCAGCUUCCACCUUGGAUCCCUCAGCCUUCUGUCGCAGACUCAUCGGCCUCCUGGUACGGACUUGCAUGGAACUCUGCAUUGAACUCCAGACCCUGGACUGAUCCCUUCGGUCUUCAGUGUGCAGACACCCUCUGCACGCUUCCUCAUACAACUCUCUGGCUGACUGUCCUAAGCCAAUCUUGUAAUUUCUUAUACAUUUGUACAUCUCAUGUUAUAUCUGUU